rnacentral:rRNA from 1 species
GAUGAACGCUGGCGGCGUGCUUAACACAUGCAAGUCGAACGAUGAAGCCCAGCUUGCUGGGUGGAUUAGUGGCGAACGGGUGAGUAACACGUGAGUAACCUGCCCUUAACUCUGGGAUAAGCCUGGGAAACUGGGUCUAAUACCGGAUAGGAGCGCCUACGGCAUGGGGGGGGUUGGAGAGAUUUAUCGGUUUUGGAUGGACUCGCGGCCUAUCAGCUUGUUGGUGAGGUAAUGGCUCACCAAGGCGAUGACGGGUAGCCGGCCUGAGAGGGUGACCGGCCACACUGGGACUGAGACACGGCCCAGACUCCUACGGGAGGCAGCAGUGGGGAAUAUUGCACAAUGGGCGAAAGCCUGAUGCAGCGACGCCGCGUGAGGGAUGACGGCCUUCGGGUUGUAAACCUCUUUCAGUAGGGAAGAAGCGAAAGUGACGGUACCUGCAGAAGAAGCACCGGCUAACUACGUG